rnacentral:lncRNA from 1 species
AACAAGGAAAGUAAUUUACGUUCUCCUUCUCAUCUAGGAACAUCCUCCUACUAUCGGAUCGAUCGAAGAAUGUCGUCGUGUCGUUUAAAUCCCGCAGUAAAGGAGGUGUUUACUUUCUCUCGCACCUUGGCAAACGAUAAACCAAAGAAAGACAGAAAAACUAUUGAAUUCCUUCCAUCGUAAAAUAUAGUUACGAAGGAAGAUUCUCAUUCUCAUUGUUGAAACGAACGAAUGAACGAAAGAACGAACGAAUGAAAGAUGAUUAUCUGUGAACGUUAACAAUUUUCAACCCCUUGGGUACGGAUUUAUUUGAGAAAAUAUUUGCAUGUGGAACGGACAUAAUUUUUGCUUGCUCGAAGUAGAAUGUGAAAGCAGUACAUUUUACGGUGUUGCUUGGACUUAGUUGACGAAAUGUUCUCAGAAAAGUGUGCCCAAUUUUUCGCUGCCGAACGAAAUGGUGUAUCGCUACUUAACGGACGUCCACGACGUCUAUAAUUUGGCAAUGACAAUUGCUCCAGCAAUUUUUCGGCAAUAGCUAAACGAAAGGAAGUAAUGCCUGCUUUGGUUGUGCAGUUGAUUUUCAGCUCCUAGGGGAAAAAAGUGAAUGACGUGUCUCAGACGUCAAAUGUACCCAAGGGUUUAAGCACAUACACAAAGGAUUCGUGAAGAAAAAAUUGAGCCACCCUAUAAACAUCAAUACUCCCUUUCAUUUCCGUUUAUUAAUUAGUAGUAUUAAUAAUCGAUCGAUAAUUAUUAUAUUGUCAAUGAAUUAUAUAAUUUUAUAGGAUUCGUGAAGAAAAAAUUGAGCCACCUUUUAAAUAUCAUACUCUCCUAGUAUCAUAGUAUUAGGUUGUCCCAUAAGUUAUUUUCGCACCACUAUGUAUAAUAACACAUCAUAUCAAAUCAAUCUUAAACAAUAAAUAUCAUCUAUUGAAUUCGCAUAAAAAAAAAAAAGAAAGCAAAAAACUUAUGGGACAACCUAAUAGUAUAAUAGUAAUAUUCGCAUAAUCAGUUGCCUCGAAAAAUCUCAAAUAUAAUAAUUUGUCAAAAAGAUUGAAUCGUUUGAAAUGAAAUUUUGUAAAUAAUUACUGAUAAUUGUUUGACGAGUUUUGAUUUGUAAAUAUUAUUAAAAA